rnacentral:rRNA from 1 species
AGUCGACGAUGAACCUAGCUUGCUAGGUGAAUUAGUGGCGCACGGGUGAGUAAAGAAUAGAUUACAUGCCUCAUAGACCGGGACAACAGUUGGAAACGACUGCUAAUACUGGAUAUUCCCUACGGGGGAAAGCUUUUGCGCUAUGAGAUUGGUCUAUUUCCCAUCAGCUAGUUGGUAAGGUAAUGGCUUACCAAGCCAAUGACGCCUAGCUGGUCUGAGAGGAUGAUCAGCCACACUGGAACUGAGACACGGUCCAGACUCCUACGGGAGGCAGCAGUGGGGAAUAUUGCACAAUGGAGGAAACUCUGAUGCAGCAACGCCGCGUGGAGGAUGACACAUUUCGGUGCGUAAACUCCUUUUAUAUGGGAAGAUAAUGACGGUACCAUAUGAAUAAGCACCGGCUAACUCCGUGCCAGCAGCCGCGGUAAUACGGAGGGUGCAAGCGUUACUCGGAAUCACUGGGCGUAAAGCGCGCGCAGGCGGCUAUUUAAGUUGGAUGUGAAGGCCUAUGGCUCAACCAUAGAACUGCAUCCAAAACUAUUUAGCUAGAGUGUGGGAGAGGAAGAUGGAAUUAGUUGUGUAGGGGUAAAAUCCGUAGAGAUAACUAGGAAUACCAAAAGCGAAGGCAAUCUUCUGGAACACUACUGACGCUGAGGCGCGAAAGCGUGGGGAGCAAACGGGAUUAGAUACCCCGGUAGUCCACGCAGUANACGAUGAAUGUUAGUCGUCGGGGGCCUAGUGUCUUCGGUGAUGCAGCUAACGCAUUAAACAUUCCGCCUGGGGAGUACGGUCGCAAGAUUAAAACUCAAAGGAAUAGACGGGGACCCGCACAAG